GAUGAACGCUGGCGGCGUGCCUAAUACAUGCAAGUCGAACGGAAAGGCCCUGCUCUUGUGGCGUGCUCGUGUGGCGAACGGGUGAGUAACACGCGUGGAACCUGUCCCUGUCAUUGGGAUAACUUCAGGGAACUGGGGCUAUUAUCGGAGAGGAUCUCCUGCUGCACGGUGGGGGUUGGAAAGUUUCGGCGGUUGGGGCUGGACUGGCGGCUUAUCAGCUGGAUGGUGGGGUAGGGGCUUUCCAAGGCUUUGACGGGUAGCCGGCCUGAGAGGGUGACCGGCCACAUUGGGACUGCGAGACGGCCCAGACUCCUACGGGCGGCAGCAGUGGGGAAUAUUGCACAGUGGGCCGAAGCCUGUUGCAGCAACGCCGCGUGCGUGAUGACGGCCUUCGGGUUGUAAACCGCUUUCGCCUGUGACGAAGCGUGAGUGACGGUAAUGGGUAAAGAAGCACCGGCUAACUACGUG
rnacentral:rRNA from 1 species